GGUAAAGGCCCUUCGGGGUACACGAGCGGCGAACGGGUGAGUAACAUUUUGGGUGAUCUGCCCUGUACUUCGGGAUAAGCCUGGGAAACUGGGUCUAAUACCGGAUAUGACCUUCGGUUGCAUGACCGUGGGUGGAAAGAUUUAUCGGUACAGGAUGGGCCCGCGGCCUAUCAGCUUGUUGGUGGGGUAAUGGCCUACCAAGGCGACGACGGGUAGCCGGCCUGAGAGGGCGACCGGCCACACUGGGACUGAGACACGGCCCAGACUCCUACGGGAGGCAGCAGUGGGGAAUAUUGCACAAUGGGCGCAAGCCUGAUGCAGCGACGCGGGGGUGAGGGAUGACGGCCUUCGGGUUGUAAACCUCUUUCAGCACAGACGAAGCGCAAGUGACGGUA
rnacentral:rRNA from 1 species